rnacentral:rRNA from 1 species
AAGUCGUAACAAGGUUUCCGUAGGUGAACCUGCGGAAGGAUCAUUAUUGAAUAAACCUGAUGUGGUUUGUAGCUGGCUUUUCGAAGCAUGUGCUCGCCCCGUCAUCUUUAUCUCUCCACCUGUGCACCUUUUGUAGUCUUGGAUACCUCUCGAGGCAACUCGGAUUUGGGAUCGCUGUGCUGUACAAGUCGGCUUUCCUUGCAUUUCCAAGACUAUGUUUUCAUAUACACCAAAGAAUGUUUAAAGAAUGUCAUCAAUGGGAACUUGUUUCCUAUAAAAACUAUACAACUUUCAGCAACGGAUCUCUUGGCUCUCGCAUCGAUGAAGAACGCAGCGAAAUGCGAUAAGUAAUGUGAAUUGCAGAAUUCAGUGAAUCAUCGAAUCUUUGAACGCACAUUGCGCCCGCCAGUAUUCUGGCGGGCAUGCCUGUCUGAGCGUCAUUUCAACCCUCAUGCCCCUAGGGCGUGGUGUUGGGGAUCGGCCAAAGCCCGCGAGGGACGGCCGGCCCCUAAAUCUAGUGGCGGACCCGUCGUGGCCUCCUCUGCGAAGUAGUGAUAUUCCGCAUCGGAGAGCGACGAGCCCCUGCCGUUAAACCCCCAACUUUCCAAGGUUGACCUCGGAUCAGGUAGGAAUACCCGCUGAACUUAA